rnacentral:rRNA from 1 species
AUUGAACGCUGGCGGCAGGCCUAACACAUGCAAGUCGGGCGGAUGAAGGGAGCUUGCUCCUGGAUUCAGCGGCGGACGGGUGAGUAAUGCCUAGGAAUCUGCCUGGUAGUGGGGGAUAACGUCCGGAAACGGGCGCUAAUACCGCAUACGUCCUGAGGGAGAAAGUGGGGGAUCUUCGGACCUCACGCUAUCAGAUGAGCCUAGGUCGGAUUAGCUAGUUGGUGGGGUAAAGGCCUACCAAGGCGACGAUCCGUAACUGGUCUGAGAGGAUGAUCAGUCACACUGGAACUGAGACACGGUCCAGACUCCUACGGGAGGCAGCAGUGGGGAAUAUUGGACAAUGGGCGAAAGCCUGAUCCAGCCAUGCCGCGUGUGUGAAGAAGGUCUUCGGAUUGUAAAGCACUUUAAGUUGGGAGGAAGGGCAGUAAGUUAAUACCUUGCUGUUUUGACGUUACCAACAGAAUAAGCACCGGCCAACUUCGUG